rnacentral:rRNA from 1 species
ACUGCUCAGUAACACGUGGACAACCUGCCCUUAGGUUGGGUAUAAACCCGGGAAACUGGGUAUAAUACCCGAUAGGUCUCGAUUGCUGGAAUGCAUCGAGAUUUAAAGCUCCGGCGCCUAAGGAUGGGUCUGCGGCCUAUCAGGUAGUAGUGGGUGUAGCGUACCUACUAGCCUACGACGGGUACAGGUUGUGAGAGCAAGAGCCCGGAGAUGGAUUCUGAGACACGAAUCCAGGCCCUACGGGGUGCAGCAGGCGCGAAAACUUUACAAUGCUGGCAACAGCGAUAAGGGAACCUCGAGUGCCAGGUUACAAAUCUGGCUGUCGAGAUGCCUAAAAAGCAUUUCAUAGCAAGGGCCGGGCAAGACCGGUGCCAGCCGCCGCGGUAACACCGGCGGCUCGAGUGGUAACCGUUAUUAUUGGGUCUAAAGGGUCUGUAGCCGGCCGGAUAAGUCUCUUGAGAAAUCUGGCAGCUUAACUGUCAGGCUUUCAGGAGAUACUGUCUGGCUCGAGGCCGGGAGAGGUGAGAGGUACUUCAGGGGUAGGGGUGAAAUCUUGUAAUCCUUGAAGGACCACCAGUGGCGAAGGCGUCUCACCAGAACGGACCUGACGGCAAGGGACGAAAGCUAGGGGCACGAACCGGAUUAGAUACCCGGGUAGUCCUAGCCGUAAACGAUACUCGCUAGGUGUCGGCCACGGUGCGACCGUUGUCGGUGCCGUAGGGAAGCCGUGAAGCGAGCCACCUGGGAAGUACGGCCGCAAGGCUGAAACUUAAAGGAAUUGGCGGGGGAGCAC